CUUUGCUAGUUUUUAUUUAGUUUGUUUUCACAAAAACAUUUCUAUUUAGUUUUAUAUUAUUUUGUUUCAGUUUUAGUGUUAAACUUACUGUAUGCCUCCCAGUCUAAACAGUUUGUGUGCAUAUUUUAUGUCAAGCCAGGGUAAGCCUACACAAAACACAGCCCUCAUUUUAAGUCUUUCUAAAACCCCCUAUGAGAGAAAUUAAUGGUGGAAAAACGACUAAUUUCCCUGUUUGACCGCCAGGUUUUAUGGGUACUAUGACACCUCCACCGUGGGGCUCUAUAGGGUGGUUGGAUUAAUAUAAAUUAAAUAAUAGCUCAUAAUGUGAGUCCUGACACAGACAUCUGUUUCUCACGGUUAAAAAAAAGAGGACAUCCUCUUGCCAAUGACUGAAGUCUAACCCGUGCGCAGACCCGUUUCUUGCGGUUCGUUGUUUAACUCGCCUUGAUAACCAGUUAUUCGGUAAGGGCACCCUUCACGGUGACUUGUUUUGUUGCAAAAGUUUUAGGCUCGAGAAAUCAGCGACAUCCACCCGACCCUGAACGGAUUAUUUUAUCGAUUUAUUGAUUGGCUAUGAGUGGGAUUUAGGCUACAUUUCCAAUAUAUUUUGAACACUUUUUUUUACCAGACCUAAUACCCUUCUAAUAACUUAUUUGUUUCUUUCCAGAUGUAUUCUAAAAAAUAAAAACUUUUUUUAUUUGUAAUUUUUGUAAUAUUUUUUUUUAUAGGUGUUCAAGGGAUAGACAUCUUGCAAGAUGAUUUUUUUAGGCUUCUUGGUGAUUUUGACGUCAGUCCAAGCUGUGUCUGUGCCUACCUUCUCCCCCGUGUAUGAGCUGAAGGUGGGGUACGGAGACAAUGUCACCCUCCCCUGUAACUUUUCCUCCUACCUGGGCCAGGAGGAUGAGGGGGAGGUCCGCUGGGAGGCCAUGGGGCAGGAGGUGGCCUCUAUGGAGGUUGGGAACAUCCUUGGUGAGGCCAGAUGGGACGACGGGACCAAGGGGGUGGAGGUCAAAACGACGCUGGGGUUCUCUUCCCGGGUGGAAUUCRCCCCAGCAGAGAGGAUGAGAGAUGGAGACUUCUCUAUGACCAUCCAGGAGACAGUGCUGAGCGAUGAGGAGAUGUACGAGUGUAUCUGGCUGGGCCGCAAGACCAUCUCUACGGUCUGGCUCAAGGUUCAGGGUAAGUCUGUUUUCAGGCUUUCCCAUUCAGAGCCGCAUUCUGUGGUUGGUGGAGUCGACCAGCGGCCAUUUUGGGUGUACCAUUUGGAAUGUUUGAUUAUCUUAAUUUAUGCUUAUCACAUCCUCUCUCAUCCCUGCACCUUUUCUAAUACCUCUAUCCAUUCUCCCUCAGAUCCCGACCCUCCACGCUCUAUCACGCUGUUCAAGGGAAGCCGGUCACUCUGCCCUGCUACGUGUCGUCCCAAGACCCAGCCCACAGCCAGAUCUACGUCCAAUGGCUGAGGACGAUGUGGAGAUCAUGACCUUAACCUGGCCAGACGACAAGGGACCUAAGGAAGAAGACCUCCGUUCUCUCUCCCCCACCCAACAACCUCUGGAGAAGGUGACCUGUCCUUGUUUAUCUAAAGACGGAGCUCAAAGACCAGGGAGUCUAUCGCUGCUUCUACAAGUCCAGGGGCUUCGAGGACCUAAGAGUGGGAUACCAGAAGGUGUCUCUCUCACACAUCCUAGAUCCAUACACUGACUUAUAUAACUUAACAGGUAGGCUUCACACACUGACCUAUAUACUUAACAGGUAGGCUACACACACUGACCUAUAUAAAUUAACAG
ensembl:lncRNA